CUUGGUCAUUUAGAGGAAGUAAAAGUCGUAACAAGGUCUCCGUUGGUGAACCAGCGGAGGGAUCAUUACUGAGUUCUUACAGAACCCUACCCUUGUGUGCUAAGCUACCACCCAGCUUUUACACAAGAGUCCCGGCUUAACCGCCGGGCUAUCAGUGUAAAAAACAAAACCUCUGUAUUAUUAUUAUUUCUCUGAGACUUUUUACAAAAGAGUCAAAACUUUCAACAACGGAUCUCUUGGUUCUGGCAUCGAUGAAGAACGCAGCGAAAUGCGAUACGUAAUGUGAAUUGCAGAAUUCAGUGAAUCAUCGAAUCUUUGAACGCACAUUGCGCCCGCUAGUAUUCUGGCGGGCAUGCCUGUCCGAGCGUCAUUUCAACCCAUCAAGCCUAGCGCUUGUGUUGGAGCCCUGCGGCCGCCGCAGCCUCCCAAAAGUAGUGGCGGGCUCGCUAUCACGCUGAGUGCAGUAGUAUUCUUCUCACUCCUGUUGUGUAGCGGGUAACCAGCCGUAAAAUAACUCCCAAAAUGUUGACCUCGGAUCAGGUAGGAAUACCCGCUGAACUUAAGCAUAUCAAUAAGCGGAGGAAAAGAAACCAACAGGGAUUGCCCUAGUAACGGCGAGUGAAGCGGCAACAGCUCAAAUUUGAAAUCUGGCAACAGCCCGAAUUGUAAUUUGCAGAGGAAGCUUCUGGUGAUGCACUGUCUAAGUCCCCUGGAACGGGGCGCCACAGCGGGUGAGAGCCCCAUGUGAUGGCUGCAGACCCAGUGUGAAGCUCCUUCGACGAGUCGAGUUGUUUGGGAAU
rnacentral:sRNA from 1 species